rnacentral:rRNA from 1 species
AUGUCACGCCGCUAUACCAUCACACUGAUCUCCCGCCUCCGAGUCCCCCGCCGCUGCUCCUCCUCCACCUCCAUCUCGCCGCCCUCACGCUCCUGGUCUCCCCGCGACGCCUUUGCCGCGGCCACAGAGCGCGUGCGCGCCGGCACGCUCAGCCCGGAAGAUGCACACAACCUGUUCGAUGAAUUGCUGCGGCAGGGCACUCCGGUCCCCGAGCGCUCCCUGAACGGCUUCCUUGCCGCCCUCACCCGUGCUACGUCCUCCAAUGCCUGCAUCAAAGAUGGCCCCGCCCUCGCCCUUGCUCUCUUCACCCGAGGGUGCAGAGAAGAAGCCGGCCCGCAGGUGGCGGUGCCCACCGUUUGGACCUACAACAUCCUCAUGGACUGCUGCUGCCGCGCGCGUCGCCCAGACCUAGGGCUCGCCUUAUUCGGGUGUAUCCUCAGGACGGGGUUGAAGAUAGACCAAAUCACCGCCAACACCCUCCUCAAGUGCCUCUGCUAUGCGAAACGGACAGAAGAGGCUGUGUACGUGCUGCUUCAUAGUAUGUCCAAGCUCGGAUGUGUGCCUGAUGCCUUCGCAUACAACAUAGUUCUUAAGAGCUUAUGUGUGUAG